rnacentral:lncRNA from 1 species
UAAAUAAAUUUAAACAUUGACAUAAAGAUAGAAAACACCUAGAAACGCUCCAACAAUCCAACGUCUUGAAUGGCAUGCACGGCUCCAAGUUGUCUUCCUUCUUCUCCUUGCAAACUCAUGGCACAAUGAGGAAUGGUUGGGUAUGGACUAAGGUAGAAGUGUUGAGGAAGGGUGGGGGUGCGGCAAGGUCAGAUUGUAUGGUGAAUGGGAGUGAAUUGGUGCGGCAAAGGGAUCUUGUGAAUUUCUGGAGUGAAUUGUGGUGAGUGGUGUCAAUGAAUGGGUGCGGCAUCAUGUAUUUAUAGGGUCCUAAAAGUCUAGCAAAUCAGAUUAGGAUUUGGAGGAUUAAAUCCCAUCAGGAAAGGGCUUAGAAAUUUGAAAUAAAAAGGGAUAAUGCUUCCUAGGUGCGGCAGGUAAGGAGAUGAGGUGAUAAGGCUUCUAGAAUGCCUUGCAAGGUAAGGAAAAUCAGCUUUCUAGAAGGGAGAGGUGCGGCACUAAAGGAUAGGGCAGAUUAGGGCUUCUAGAAACCCUCUAAUGCAAGGAAAACUCACGGCAAGGAUGGAUAAGGUUUCUAGAACAAGGAUAAGGUAUCCUAAAUGGAUAAGGUGCCCUAAAUGGAUAAGGAUUCCUCAUGCACUUGGAAACUUCUUUGUUGCUUCACUUGAGACCAUUUGGAUUUUGACUUUCCUACAUCAAGUAGGAAACCUUGUUUGAGUAGGAAUCUUCAUCUUCAAGGAAUCCUAAUGCAACUAGGAAACCCAUUUUGACUAGGAAUCCUAAUUCAACUAGGAUUCCAUCUUCACUUAGGGACUUUCCCACUUCAACUAGGAAACUUUGUUAAAGUAGGAAACAUCAUCUUCAAAUCUUCAAUUUCGUCCAUCCUCUUGGCUCCAAGCAUAUGACAUCCAUUCCAAGCUGAAAUGUGCUCCAAAAGGCUCCAAAAUGCUUCUUUUGAUGUAAUAUGCCUUUAAAACCUGAAAACACAUAAAACUAGCUUAAAAGCAUACUUUACUAAGGAAAAACACUAUCAAUGCACAAGAACAGGCACUAAGGCGCAUAAAUAUGCUCCUAUCAUAUUUCUUCCUUGAUUAAAUUAUGUCGUUUUGAAUUUAGAGGACGAAAUUUUCUUAAGGGGGUAGUUGUGACAUUCCGUCCCGAGAUUUAUUGUAUUUUAUUCUCAGUAGUAGUGAAAUUAUCAAAAUAUGCCUGAGAUGCCACGGCCUUCCACAUUGACCUCAAUUUUCCUUUCACUUUUCCAAUCUUAUUUUACUAUUUUUGAAUAGUACUCAUUUUUAUGAACAUGUGGCCUUAAACGGAACUCAAUUCGGAUGUAUAAUGAAAAAGUUAUGUUUGAAAUAAUAUAAAUUCACCUGAAAGAGGUUCAAACUUUAAAAACCAACCUCGUACAGUGUGCACCACUGCCUUGGUUUGGCAUAGGAAACAUAUAUCAGCCUUCAAAUAGGCUUAAUGAUGAGGGAUGGUGUUCAAGUUGCUUUAAACAAAUAUUAUUUUAGGUUUUAGAAACCCAAAACUUGCUCCAUCUCACAUCACAUCAUUUUCCCUUCUUUUUGGCUGGUUCCCUCAUGAUGCGAAAUAGAUAAGCACACAAAUUAAACCCUCUUUUUGUCAAAUUGUAGCAAAGAUGUAAGUAGGGAUCGU